ensembl:lncRNA
GGAAUUUGUUUGUUUUAAGAUGUCUAAACAGGCUUAAAAUUAAGAGACCUCUUUGUAAAGCUGCUUUGGAGUAAUAUGCAUUUAUGUAAGAACAAAAAAACGUUCAUCGUUUUUUAAUUUCACAUAUUCUAGAUCUUUGUUCCUCAGCUCUAAGUGUUCUUUCAUGAUUCAAAUCCCCUCAGUUCACUAAUGCAUUACGUUUUACAUCCCUCCAGCUUGACAUGGAGCAGAGCGGAACCACGGUGGUCUUAGAAACACAAGCUAACAGUGAACUGGGUUUCCUCCACAUGUAUUGACUUAAGCUUAUGAGACAUUACUGGACUUCAAUCCAUCCACUGACAUAAAAACCCACCGCAGGAUCCUGAGAGAAAUGGGAUACUCUAAACAGACAUUCAUCUAACACACUGCGCUAACACAAAUCUCUCUCCCUCCUCAUUCAAGCUUACAGACACAUACACACAGAGGUACAAAGGUCUCUUUCUGUAACGGGCCGAGAGCUGAAAUUUGAUGUUUAAUAACUGGGAUAUUUUUUAAUGCUUUCUGUGCUGACGGUGCAGUGGAUUUUUGAGGCAGGAUAAUGACGGGACUAAAACACUACCUGUGGAUUCCUGAGGUAUUGAGUUCUAAAGCGCCGCUACAAGAGAAUAAAGAAGGUCACCCACAUUUGGAUCAACAUGAAGGUGUGCAGGGGAGUCAAAAGUUUUGGUGUGGAGUACAGAACAUCACUGCAGCGUCAUCAGAGCUCCAAACUUUCAAGAGUAGCUUAAAAUGCAUAACACGCUGGAAUUCUGUCAAGAAGAAGAGAGACUGUUCUCUCUAAAUGUAAGUCAAUAGAGGAGAUGCAAUGGAACACUGAAUAAACUACUUUUAUGUGGAAAAAGAUAAAAUGGA